rnacentral:rRNA from 1 species
GACGAACGCUGGCGGCGUGCUUAACACAUGCAAGUCGAACGGAAAGGCCCUGCUUUUGUGGGGUGCUCGAGUGGCGAACGGGUGAGUAACACGUGAGUAACCUGCCCUUGACUUUGGGAUAACUUCAGGAAACUGGGGCUAAUACAGGAUAGGAGCUCCUGCUGCAUGGUGGGGGUUGGAAAGUUUCGGCGGUUGGGGAUGGACUCGCGGCUUAUCAGCUUGUUGGUGGGGUAGUGGCUUACCAAGGCUUUGACGGGUAGCCGGCCUGGGAGGGUGACCGGCCACAUUGGGACUGAGAGACGGACCAGACUCCUACGGGAGGCAGCAGUGGGGAAUAUUGCACAAUGGGCGGAAGCCUGAGGCAGCAACGCCGCGUGCGGGAUGACGGCCUUCGGGUUGUAAACCGCUUUCGCCUGUGACGAAGCGUGAGUGACGGUAAUGGGUAAAGAAGCACCGGCUAACUACGUG